GGCAAUUUCAAUAUGGCCUCUUUAUCUGCAUUAAGUUGAUAGGAUGUGGUUUUGAUGGGGAGGUAAUGUGGUUGCAUGCAUCUCAGGCUCAUGGAUGAACGUGUCUACUUGUUUGCACACAGGCUUUUCCAUCUGGGCAUGUGACGUCCUCCCUCAGCACACAAUCACCAGUUUAUUUACCUGCAUGGCUGCCCAAGAGAGACGGGAGUUUGCGUCAGUGCACACAUCCCAUGGCCCCAGUGAAGCACAACGGGGGACAGCAGGGACAGCAGGGAGGCUUAAUGCACUGAGCGUGUGUGUGGACACAUCGUGGCUACACCGCCAAUGUUUGUCAAGAUGACUCCAAACUUUCAGUUUCAUCAUCAUGAUUGGAGGGCCGGGAUGAUGUACGACACCUCGUCUACAUUUGUCAUAAUAAAGAAGCAUGUCCCACAGUGCAAC